UUCCUGUCCCUUCUUAUCAUUUAUAGAAGCAGCCCAACGGACCAGAGUCCUCCUCAAACCUUCUCCACCCCAACGGUAUUCAAUGUGUGAAUGAUAAUCCAAGUCUAAUACAAAAGGANNNAACAUCCCCAGUGCUUGAAGAUGGAUAAUAGACUUCACUACCACUGUUACAUAUAAAUGCAUCAAAAUCCAAUGGGCUCAAGCCUCCUGAGGCCAGAAGUGAGUGUAUCUCAUAUAUG
rnacentral:misc_RNA from 1 species